rnacentral:antisense_RNA from 1 species
GCCCUCGAGCUUCUAGGUGCCCUUCUCUCGCCACUCCAAGGUGAAAGAACUGGGCUUUUCUCUCCUUUGCUCCGACUAUUUCAGGGAAACUGCAGUCGUCGACGCCUGCGUUGGCAACGCAAAAGCCCAGGAGGGAUAGCGCAGCCGAGAUUCUCCGACAGCUCCCCACCUCUCCCGGCUCUCUGAUCUACCACGUCAGUGGUCUCCUCCAGGCAGUGCAAAGGCAGUAUCUCUCUGAAUCCCGGGACGUCUCAGCCAAAGCAGGGAAGACACCUCAAGUACGCUGGAGGGCUGGGUAAGGCGCGAAGGGCAGCCCCAUUCCAGUCUUCAAAGAGAGCUAGCUGUUCACCGCUCCUCUCCUCCAGAUUUCACCGUGCCUGAAGAACUACCAUGCUUUUCAUGUAAUAUUUUUAAAAACAUUAAAUACUUUGGAUUAAGAGAA